ensembl:lncRNA
AGACAUUUUCAGUUAUGGUUUGAACAAACAUAUAUCUUGUUUAAUGCCACGUAAUACCCCUCAAUGGACUCUUGAAAAAUAUACUGACCAUGCUCUUUUGUUGGCGGGUUCACCACUUACUGUGGGGGUUGCUGAGGAAGAACACAGCUAUCCCACAGUACCCGCCACAUCAGAACUUUUCUACGUCCCAACCGUCAUGUCAGGAGUUGUUCACGUCAUGCCUGCCAAGCCACAGCCUUCUCACGUCAUGCCUGCCAAGCCACAGCCUUCUCACAUCCUGCCUGCCAAGCCACAGCCUUCUCACACCAUGCCUGCCAAGCCACAGCCUUCUCCCGUCACGCCCGCCAAGCCACAGCCUUCUCCCGUCCUGCCCGCCACGCCACAGCCUUCUCACGUCAUACCUGCCAAGCCACAGCCUUCUCACGCCAUGCCUGCAAAGCCACAGCCUCCUCACGCCUCAGCUGAACUUCCACAGCCUCGUCACGCCUCAGCGGAACUUCCAGAGCCUCGUCACGCCUCAGCUGAACUUCCUGAGCCUUGUUGCGUCUCAGCUGAUCAUCCAGGGUCCUGUCACGACAUGGCCGCCACGCCAGAGUCCCCGGCCGACAUGGCCGCCACGCCUGAGUCCCCGGCCAAGAUGGCCGCCACGCCUGAGUCUCGUCAAGUCUGGGCCAUCACUGUUCCCGUGGCCUCAGUACUUCUAGUAAUGGCAGUCACCAUUUUGAGUGUGUGGGCCGCUCACUGCACUCCAGAGACUUUUCCUGUCCACGAGUCUGUUCCCGAGGCUUCUCCUGACCAUGAAUCCACUCCAGUGCCUCCAGAGGUGGCGGCUUCCGCUGCAGAACCUCCAGAGGAGGCGGGGUCCACUACAGAACCUCCCAAGGUGGUGGCUCCCACAUACGAGCUCACUGCCUGUCCCGUAACGGCCACGGAGGCCGCCCAAGAACUCACUGUCUGUCCUGUCAUGGCCAAGUGGUCUGUCCAUGUCUCUGCUUCACCAUGGCUUCCAGCUCUGCCUGCACUGCUUGGCCACCCCGCUAGGCCUCCACUGCCAUGGCUCCCCGCUGGGCCUGCACAGCCAUGGCUCCAUACUGCUCUGGAUCUGCUCCAUUGUCUGUCACUGCUCCACGGCCCAGGUCCCCCUCUGCUUCAUGGUCUGUUUCUCCUCCAGUCCACCACCCUCCUGAACUUUUUGGGUUUUGUUGUGUGGGCGUCUGGAGCCGCCCUUAGAGGGGGGGAUAUGUAAUGUCUGUUUUGGGUUUUGUUUUAUGUUCAUGUGUUCAUGUCUUUUAUUUUGUUAUUGUUUAAUUUUGCUGUUUGUGUCAUGCUUCCCUUGCCCUCUUGUUGUCUUGCUAUUGGUUCCUCUUGUUCCUUGUGUCAUGUUCCGAUUGGUUUGUUCUUGUCAUGUGACCCUCAUUGUUUGUAUAAAUAGUCAUGUUUUUGUCAUUGUACUUUGUCGUGUAAACGUAAUGUUGUAACCUGCUGUCGGUGAGUCUAGUCUGUUCAUGCCACGUCAAGUCUGUUCAUGCCACGUCAAGUCAGUUCUAGUCAAGUCUGUGUAUCUUGUUUGGAUAAUUGUUUGGAUUUUGGAUUACACCUUUGUAAACAAACUGCACUUGGGUUCAUCUACA